rfam:Daphnia pulex DAPPTscaffold_296_Cont8424, whole genome shotgun sequence.
UCCUAUAUUGUCUAGUGGUUAGGAUACCUGGCUCUCUCCCAGGAGGCCCGGGUUCACUUCCCGGUAGGGAAA